rnacentral:rRNA from 1 species
UACAGAGGUCUCAAGCGUUUGUUCGGAUUCAUUGGGCGUAAAGGGCGCGUAGGCGGCCCGCUAAGUCGAACGUGAAAUCCCUGGGCUUAACCCAGGAACUGCGUCCGAUACUGGCAGGCUUGAAUCCGGGAGAGGGAUGCGGAAUUCCAGGUGUAGCGGUGAAAUGCGUAGAUAUCUGGAGGAACACCGGUGGCGAAGGCGGCAUCCUGGACCGGUAUUGACGCUGAGGCGCGAAAGCCAGGGGAGCAAACGGGG